rnacentral:tRNA from 2 species
GCCAAACUGGUGUAACUGGUAGCACAGUCGGGUAUCAUCUGCUAGGCCCUUCGGGGGGCGACGGUCUUGGUUCGAGUCCAAGGUUUGGAA